GCCGUAGUCAAAAUUUUCUUCGGGAAGGGGAGCACUGUAACAACAAAAUUUUAAUUCUUCAUUUUUUUUCAAUAUUGAACAGUAUGUGACCCUGACCCAUAUUCGUUUGAUACCCUUAACGCCAUCUAGCGAGCUCAGUCGAUAACAACAUGGUCCGGGUUGCUAGAUUAAAAAUAAUUUCGGUGCCUUCCUACAUUUUUGGUUUUUUUAAUCGCAGGGGGUUGUAAAUUAAAAUUGUCUUCAAAUAUUUUUUUUAUUCGUCGGCGCGUUGUAUUCAAUAUUAUUCUAAGCAAACUAAAUAGGAAAGAAAGCGUUUUUUUUGUCAAGUCAUGUGGUGUUCGGCCGAGCCCCGUUCGGACUCUGGUAACCCCGUCGUUUGAUCUGUCACCGAUGGCUCGCCACGUAGCUAGCCGUUCUUUUUGGAUUUGGAAGAGAUCGUAGCAAGGUGGUUCGUUUCCUUUGCCCAGCGGCCUGGUGCUGUCUGAUGGCUUCUACCUAUAUCGCGGUUUAAGCCGCCUAAUCCUCGUUGGAUGUGAAUCGUCCUGGAAAUUGAAGCCCCGGGUGCAUUGGAAUUAUGCAAGUCCUUUCCUACGCCCGCUUAUUGUCUGCCCCGGGUAAGCAGCGACCUACUCGCAGUCCAGUAUAUUUAUUCGAUUCUGUGAAUGUCUGUUCCGUUACUUAGUAGUUUUAUAAAUUUCAGGGUUUCAAGAUUUACCGUCUUUAUUACGAGUUUACGGGGUGGCCUCAAAAUGCCAGCUUCUGCAAGCCGAGCUACCAGUGGCAAGGAGCUGUGCCUGGCGUUUCCAUACUUCCACGCAGAGGUUCCUGACCAACGUGGCGGUUGUAUUGUUUACGGUCUUUCGAAGUUUUGGAGGUUAGAUCGACCCUUUAUCUAAUAUGUAUUACUGAACCAGAGAUGCUGGUUCUGGCGCCCUCAUACCCUUAGUAACUUUUAAGUUUGUCCGUCAGUAGGCCGCUUCUACCAAAACAUUUUAAAAAAGAGUUCGCUAUACCCAUAACUGUUCCCUCAACACUUAAAUAAGAGUCUGAUGCUCAUGUUAUUUAGAUAAGAGCUAGUUUACCUUAAGUUCCUGUCAUUAAGGCCCUUAAGGCUCUCCGGGUUAGUUUUGAAAUUAUUUAAAUAAAUGUUUUAUUCAUA